rnacentral:rRNA from 1 species
ACGGAGGGUGCAAGCGUUAAUCGGAAUUACUGGGCGUAAAGCGCGCGUAGGCGGUUUGGUUAGUCAGAUGUGAAAGCCCCGGGCUCAACCUGGGAACUGCAUUCGAUACUGCCAGACUAGAGUAUGUUAGAGGAGAGUGGAAUUCCGGGUGUAGCGGUGAAAUGCGUAGAUAUCCGGAGGAACAUCAGUGGCGAAGGCGACUCUCUGGGACAAUACUGACGCUGAGGUGCGAAAGCGUGGGGAGCAAACAGG